ACAUGUACAAGGUGAUUAAAGCCAUGGAAAUUGGAAUUUUCACUAAGUUUAAGACGCCUAGGAGGGCAAUUGUGGGAUUUAAGUGUGAGAUUAGCAUUCAAUAUAAUUGUAACCCACUACCAGUUUUCAUACCAAUCGUUUCAAUCCUCCCCUCCGUUUCCAUCCCACCCUUGUUAACCUAUGGUUCAUGAUCAGAAAGAGAGAGAGAGAUAGCGACAAAUCGGAAGCGAUUGGAGGCAAGAUCGAUUUAGAAGCAGGCCCGACCAGAAGCUAGCACGACGACAACGCUGUUGUUCAGGUUAGAACAUGCAAAUGCAAUUGACGGAUUUAUAACUGUUGUAGAUAAUCCCACAUCUCCCAAACGCCAAGAGGUCGCACUGGGACCUUUGAUGUUUGCAUCGAUGUUUAUAGAGAGGGACCAACAAUUUUUUUUGGUUUCCAUUUGAUUUGACUGAAAGUUAGUCAAAGUACUGAAAUGCUUUGGUAGUUAAGUUCAAGCAUGUUCUCUUGUUUGUUGCGAUAUUGCAGGUUGAAGGAGCUGCUAAUGAGGGUGGCAGGGGUCCUUGCAUAUGGGAUGCUUUCACACACACACAAGGAAAGAUAAAAGAUGGUAAAAACAGAGAUGUACCAGUAGAUCAAUACCAUCGUUACAAGGUUUUGUUUUUGUACAACAUUCGCAUUUACGGAUUUGCAUUCAUUUAAGGAAAAUUUGGUGCCUCGAAAGCCUUACUUCAAUAAGAUGUGAAGUCAGUUUUUUUUUGCUUAAUAUUGAGACAACAUCUUCCUAUGCUUACUUUGAGGGGCCAAUGACCAUAAAAUGUCUCGUAUCUAUCCAGGUAAUGCCUGCUGUUAAGAUUGUUACCAAAACAAUUGGUUGCAUCAUAAAUGCAGAUGGGCUGGGAACCGAAGUGAACAAGGAAGGGAUCAUGUAUUACAAUAAUCUUAUAAACUACCUUCUAGAAAAGGGCUCUUCGUUCCCCUCGAACUCGGCUGGGUAUUCACCGCCAGGCAGCGUUGCCGGAUCGCUAGCUUGGGAAGGGAGACCCCUUCCGCGUUCAAGGUCAAGGUUUCGCCACAGGAAGAAUAAACCUUGGAGAAUUAGAAGUCGCAAUGGUUAAAGACUUCGAGGUGAUAUCCACUUACACCCCCAAAAAAUAAAAAACCGGCGUUGCAUUUUACAAACCGGUAUCCAUACCCGACGGGUUCAUCACCUUCAGUCACUAUGGUCAGCUAACCAACCAACACCAGUUCAUCACGUGCGGGUUACCCACUAGAUGCAGAUGAUUAACAAAGCAUUUUACAGGCUGACUUGGCCUUAGCUGACGAAUGCAGUGUGAGCGAUUAUUGUAGGACGACAGCUUUAACUGUUUUGAUCGUGGGAAGACAUAUAAUAAUAGCCAAUGCUGGUGACUCUCGUGCGGUCCUAUGUAAGAACAGGUCUGCAAGACCACAAGGGGUCGACUUGUUUACAAGAAAAGGAAAGAUGCGAGCGGUUAGGUGGUUACUUUGAUGAAGCCGGGUACCUGAACGGUCAACUAAGUGUGACCCGUGCGAUUGGAGACUGGCACAUGAAGAAGGAGAAGUUGGUGAUUGCUGAACCGGAUGUGAGACAAAUGGUGUUGACGGAUAAUGAUGAGUUUACUGGUGGUAAAUUGUGUUUUCAUUAAUUAACAUGUAGUGGAAGUGAGCCUGAUGUAGAGGAAGCAGUGCGAUUAAUAUGUGAAAUUGGUUGAGUUACGGUGUUGGCUCAUCCAUGGGCUUUGGAAAAUCCAGUUGUUAUCAUUGGUUGAUUAAGUGAAGCUGGCUUGCACGGAUUAGAGGUUUACAGAAGUGAUGGUGAAUUCAGUAGUUGCUUUCCGACCAGAUCUUGGCAUGUCGCAAACUUUGGGACCUUUAUGAUUUCUAUCGCAAACCGCGAUCGCUAAGUAGUGACCAGUGAUGUUAAUAAGAGCAUCAAAAGCGAGGGCAUCCAUAACCCCAUCUCCACUCAUCGGACCAACAAAUUCCUGACCACCUUGUUAUGGGAGUUUGACCCACCUCGUCCAAUUUGUUUCACCGGACUAGUCUGGUCUGACUUGGUGGGCCCCACACACUCACAAACCUUUUUUUUUGUUUUAAUGUAAAAAGUAGGAUGUAAUGGGGUUUGGAAUGAUUGUGGUUUGAAAUGAUGUGGUAUGCUGACUAGGCGAUCCAGAUUUUGGACUUUGACCACGGUUGGAGAUGCUCUAACACUGAUUUUUCUCAUGACUUUCUAUGAUUUCCUUUUCAUACGCAAUUUCCUACGAUAGGGUAGGGAUGAAAGGCCGGUGAGAUAGUUUGGAAUAUUAAAUAGAAGACAAUUAUGCUCGACCGGUGGAUCGAAUUGAUGAACCUUCCGAACUUUCUUUUAUCCAGGGUGUGAUACCCACAACUUUGCCAAUUCGAGUGCGAAUUGCAUUACCUACUUUAUCCUUCGUAGUGAUUUGAGACUUUCUAGUCAAGGCCAGACAAAACCAAAGAUUGCAGCUAGACAUCCACCACAGCAUUCCUAUGUUUUUCUCGACUACAGGUUUAUAACUCCUAUACCAAACCAAAAUAGCUAGCGGAUAAUUGCCCCGAA